CAGUCGAACGAAUGUCAGCUGGGUAGCAAUACUUGGCUGGCGGAAGUGGCGAAAGGGGCAGUAAUGCAUGGAUAACCUACCUUGGGGUUGGGCAUAGCCGUUCUAACGAGCGGGUAAUUCCCAGAGAUUCAGCGGGAGGGCAUCCUUCUGCUGGGAAAGAAUUUCGCCUCGAGAGGGGUCCAUGUGCUAUUAGCUAGUUGGUGGGGUAACGGCCUACCAAGGCUAAGAUGGCUAGCGGGUGUGAGAGCACGACCCGCGCCACUGGCACUGAGACACUGGCCAGACACCUGCGGGUGGCUGCAGUCGAGGAUCUUCGUCAAUGGGCGCAAGCCUGAACGAGCGACGCCGCGUGAGCGAUGAAGGCCUUCGGGUUGUAAAGCUCGAAAGUGGGGAUAAAGCCGAAAGGUUGAUAGAUCCACAGUAAGGACGGGCUAAGUUCGUGCCAGCAGCCGCGGUAAGACGAACUGUCCUAACGUUGUUCGGAAUCACUGGGCUUAAAGGGCGCGUAGGCGGUCCGACAAGUCAGGGGUGAAAUCCUGCAGCUUAACUGCAGAAGUGCCUUUGAUACUGUCGGUCUUGAGGGAGAUAGGGGUGUGUGGAACUUCCAGUGGAGCGGUGAAAUGCGUUGAUAUUGGAAGGAACGCCGGAGGCGAAAGCGACGCACUGGAUCUCUUCUGACGCUGAGGCGCGAAAGCUAGGGGAGCAAACGGGAUUAGAUACCCCGGUAGUCCUAGCCCUAAACGAUGAGUACUAGAUUGUAGACUAAUCAUGGGUUUACAGUCGAAGCAAAAGUGUUAAGUACUCCGCCUGGGGAGUAUGGUCGCAAGGCUGAAACUCAAAGGAAUUGACGGGGGCUCACACAAGCGGUGGAGCAUGUGGCUCAAUUCGAGGCUACGCGAAGAACCUUAUCCUAGGCUUGACA
rnacentral:rRNA from 1 species